CCGGGGUGAUGUAUGGAAAGGACAUUUUACCCAGCGUUAAAGGACCGGGGUGAUGGAUGGAAAGGACAUUUUCCUGUCAUUAAAGGGUUCAUCUCUAGACUGGUGAAUGAGGCCUGGUUCAACUUUCUUACAAAACCGUUUUUGUAAGCGUUUACCGUUUGUGAAACCAUUCAGUCAUGGAUGUAUGUAAAACAUAUUUAACCCGUAUUGCAGGUUACAGAAGACUCCUGUUGUACUAUGAAUCACCACUCAUCCCUGUUAGAUCUUGAUGUGUUGGCUCUCUAUGUAUGUACAUGUUUAUAAUCCACAUAGUGUGAAUAUUGUUUUCCAUAAAGUUAAUAACCCCCUAAACCGAAAUAUGAAAUUACCGCUUCCCCUAUCGUAAAAGCGUGAGAUACAUUUUUAAAACCAGUGAUUUAAUUCAAAAAUAUUUAGUACAUACAUUUUAACACACGUUAUAAUUCAAAAUGUUGACUAUUUCUUACAGAUAAAGGGUCCGGUUAGCCCUGACCAUUAUACGUUUCCAAUUCACCAUCGCAAAGACACUUGCCCGCUCCAUCAAAACUCUAAGUUUUUCCUCCAUGUGUAGAUCAACCAUCCUGCAUGUAAAUCCUGGGUAUGCCCACAUCAUUAAUUAAUAAGAUGGGUAGAAAACUGUUUCGCCAUAAGUGAAGGCCUUUCAUAAAGAGGCUGUCAUGAUUGCCUGUGCCACAUAUUUAACACGUAUUGCUUGUUACAGAAUACUACUGCUGUACAUUUAAUAUCCACUAGCAGAUUUCGUAGCAUUUGCACAAAUUCUGUCAUGUUACUGUGGUCUUUUUAAAAGUCAAUAAAUAUAUG
ensembl:lncRNA